CACGGGUGCGUAACGCGUGGGAAUCUGCCCUUGGGUUCGGAAUAACAGCGAGAAAUUGCUGCUAAUACCGGAUGAUGACGUAAGUCCAAAGAUUUAUCGCCCAAGGAGGAGCCCGCGUAGGAUUAGCUAGUUGGUGAGGUAAAGGCUCACCAAGGCGACGAUCCUUAGCUGGUCUGAGAGGAUGAUCAGCCACACUGGGACUGAGACACGGCCCAGACUCCUACGGGAGGCAGCAGUGGGGAAUAUUGGACAAUGGGGGAAACCCUGAUCCAGCCAUGCCGCGUGAGUGAGGAAGGCCUUAGGGUUGUAAAGCUCUUUCACCCGUGACGAUGAUGACGGUAACGGGAGAAGAAGCCCCGGCUAACUCCGUGCCAGCAGCCGCGGUAAU
rnacentral:rRNA from 1 species